rnacentral:rRNA from 1 species
GAGAUUACCCCCCGUACCUUUUGCAUCAUGAUUUAGCCAGUAUCUUACCAGGCAGAGAGAACUUUAGUUUGGACCCCCGAAACUACGUGAGCUACUCCAAGACAGCCUAUUAUAUAGGGCAAACCCGUCUCUGUGGCAAAAGAGUGGGAAGAGCUUUGAGUAGAGGUGAUAAACCUACCGAACCUAGUUAUAGCUGGUUGCCUGAGAAUUGGAUAGGAGUUCAGCCUCCAGGCUUCUUUCUUCACCAUAAUUCACCCUUACCGAUAUAUAAGAAACCUAGAGAGUUAAUCAAAGGGGGUACAGCCCCUUUGAGACAAGACACAACUUUUCCAGGAGGGUAAGGAUCAUAUUUAAUUAAGGUAAUAAUGCUUAAGUAGGCCCGAAAGCAGCCACCUUACCAGAAAGCGUUAAAGCUCGAACAUUACACCUCAUCCACAUAUUUUGAUAAUCAAACCCUAACCCCCUAACAUUACCAGGCCAUCCCAUGCAAACAUGGGAGUAUUUAUGCUAAUAUGAGUAACAAGAGAGCAUACGCCUCUCUCCUUGCACACGUGUAUAUC